rnacentral:rRNA from 1 species
GACGAACGCUGGCGGCGUGCUUAACACAUGCAAGUCGAACGGUGAAGCGCCUUCCUUUUUGGUGGGUGUGGAUGAGCGGCGAACGGGUUAGUAACACGUUAGUAACCUGCUACCUUCUUCUGGACAACCGCAUGACAGAGUGACUAAUACGGGAUAUUCUGGGUCUGUCGCAUGAUGGGUCUGGGACAGAUAUGGUUUCGGUGGUGGAUGGGGCCGCGGCGUAUCAGCUUGUUGGUGGGGUGACGGCCUACCAAGGCGGUGAAGAGUAGCCGGCCUGAGAGGAUCGACGGCCACACAGGGGCGACGACACCGACCCGCCUACGACAGGAGGCAGCAGGGAGGAAUAUUGAACGAGGGGAGCAAGGAUGAUGCAGCGACGCGGCGGGAGGGAUGGUGGCCUGAGGGUUGUGAACCUCUUUCGCCGGAGAAGAAGGGUUGCCUCGUCUGUGGGUGGGUUGACGGUAGCUGGAUAAAAAGCGCCGGCUAACUACGUG